GUGUUCACUGCAGCCGCGUAUAUGCUAACGUGAACAGUACAGAGGUUAGAGCGGCCCCUGAGCAAGAAUGACACGCACAUUUGUGAAGCGUUCCAUAUUUUU